rnacentral:rRNA from 1 species
UACAGAGGUCUCAAGCGUUGUUCGGAUUCAUUGGGCGUAAAGGGUGCGUAGGCGGCGCGGUAAGUCGGGUGUGAAAUCUCGGGGCUUAACUCCGAAACUGCAUUCGAUACUACCGUGCUUGAGGACUGGAGAGGAGACUGGAAUUUACGGUGUAGCGGUGAAAUGCGUAGAUAUCGUAAGGAAGACCAGUGGCGAAGGCGGGUCUCUGGACAGUUCCUGACGCUGAGGCACGAAGGCCAGGGGGAGCAAAACGGGGAUUAGAACCGUCC